ensembl:lncRNA
GCUAUGUUGUUAUUCAAACUAGCAGUUUAAAGCAAUGAAUGUUUAUCUCACAGGUUUUGUGGGUUAGGAAUUCAGGAGCAAUUUAGCUGGGUGCUUCUGGCUUGGUGUCUUUCGAAUCAUGCUGUGGGCCAGGGCAGAAGUCAGUGAAACGUGACUGGGGCUGGAGGUUCCUCUUCCAGGCUCAUUCAUGCAGCUGUCGUCCAGAAACUGCCGUGGCACCAUCUCCUUCAGGCUUCGCACAGCAUGGCUUCCCUCACUGUUCUAAUCUCCGAAAUGGCACGCUUUCACUUCGUCUCUCUUCUCUUUGUAAGGAGCCAGUCACUUAAGUCCAGCCCAUGCUCAGGAGGAAGGAAGGCAGCCACCAUGUAAGUGGAAGUCCCCCGGAGAGUCAGUAGAAGGGAAGAAUGGCUUGAUUCCUGCCCCCAUCUCUCGGCCAAAGGAUCCUGAGGAAAGCAAUGCUAACUCUUGGCAGAAGGGACAUCCAGCAAUCAGCCAUCUCUCUUGCAAGUGUUCUGGACUUCUCUAUUAAAAAACAGCCUGUUCAGCCAGCAUGUGUCACUGUGUCAUAUUCUGAGGUAGAAAUGGGCUUCCCUGGUGGCUCAGAUGGUAAAGAAUUUGCCUGCAAUGCAGGAAAUGCAGCCUUGAUCCCUGGGUUGGGAAGAUAUAUAAAUGGUCACAACAGCAAGUGGGGGAUCAUUGAGCUUGACACAUUUCAGAUGACUACACGGGGCCAACGCAGCAGCCCCACCCUCCAUGCUGGUGUGUUGUAUAUGAGAUGUGUCCAUGGAGCAUGGGAGCUUAAUGUCCCCUGACUGUCAGUCUCAUAUCAAUGUGGCUGCUAGAUUGCUGCAUUUCCAGCAACCCAUUUGGAUUAAAGAACCUCGAAACGCCCAUGUUGGGAUCUCUAUGUGACAGCAUUGAGAGUGUCAUCUGAAGGCAGCAGGAAGUCUGACAGUCACUAAACUUGUUUUAGAAGCUAGAAAUUCUACCAUUUGUGAAGAUGAAGGCAGUUUGAACCUUUCUGGAUGAAUGCUGCAGUUUGUUUUUGGAACUGAACCUCUGACCUUCCUGAAGGACUGUCUCUUUGCUUUUAAGCUUCAGUCUUCUUUGACCUUUUGCCCCACACCUGGGCAAGCUGAUAAGACUGGAUGUUCUCUCCUUGGGCACCUAUUGAAAGUUCAAACCACACAAGUCCUAUCCAGGCACAGAAACCCUUACCUCAGUCUCACCUUCUAA